UAUCCUUAUCAUUUAAAGUAGGGAGUAUGUUGUCUCUUAUAGUAUAUGAGUAAUGCUCAAAGAUCUCUGUAUAACUCAACCUGCAGCCUCAUGACUUUAUAUGGUCACAGAACACCUCAGUGAAAGCAAAUAUCCUUAACAUUUACGGUGGGGGGCACACAAUCUCUUAAAAUACCUGUGUGAUACUUAGGGUCCACUGUAUAACUUAGUCCACAGUCUUGUGUCUUUUAUGAUCACAGAACCCCUCAGUUACAUCUAACACCCAUAUCAUUUAGGGGGUACAGUAUCCCACUAAAGGCAAUAAACUAAAUUUGAAUGACUAUGCCACAUGUGAAUCGAAAGGGGUCAUAUACAUGUUGAAGUGCCCAUGUGGCCUAGUCUAUGUGGGGCAAACAAUUAGAAAUGUAAAAACCAGGAUUAAAGAGCAUAAAGGGGACAUAAGGAAUUAUAAACCAGGAUCUCAGACAGAUACGACUGUAGCCCGACAUUUUAAUGAGGCAAAACAUAGCCACGGGCAAUUGAAAUGGGUGGUCCUCGAAGUAGUACAACCAUUAAGUCGAGGUGGUAACUUUAAGCAAAAGAUGCUACAACGUGAAGCCAAAUGGAUUUCUAAAUUGAAUUCACUAGCCCCAGUUGGGCUUAAUGAUGCCUGGAGUUUGAAAUGCUUUUUAUAAGAAUUGUUAUAUUUACUCUUAUUUAUUUCAGAUAUUAAGUGAUGCCUAUCCUCUCAGCUGGGGGUAAGAGUGUAUCUGAAGAUAUGGAACCUUGGCACUUGGACACUACAUGUACACUGGAGAUCACUGGGACUUUUAAACGUUUUAUACGUUCUAUGUUUUCUACCUAUUUUACACUUUUACUCUGGACUAAUGAGUUAAUUGGUGGGAGGAGGAGCACUGUUUGGCAAUUAAGGCUAUAAGAUGUGGUUUGAUCAUGUGAUUGUUACACUUGAGAAAGGGUCCAUGUGACUCGAAACAUGUCGUGUGUACAAUAAAGCACUAACGCAGCAGA